rnacentral:rRNA from 1 species
AGAACGAACGCUGGCGGCAUGCCUAAUACAUGCAAGUCGAACGAACUCUUCGGAGUUAGUGGCGCACGGGUGCGUAACGCGUGGGAAUCUGCCCCUUGGUUCGGAAUAACAGUUGGAAACGACUGCUAAUACCGGAUGAUGACGAAAGUCCAAAGAUUUAUCGCCAAGGGAUGAGCCCGCGUAGGAUUAGCUAGUUGGUGAGGUAAAGGCUCACCAAGGCAACGAUCCUUAGCUGGUCUGAGAGGAUGAUCAGCCACACUGGGACUGAGACACGGCCCAGACUCCUACGGGAGGCAGCAGUAGGGAAUAUUGGACAAGUGGGCGAAAGCCUGAUCCAGCAAUGCCGCGUGACGUGAUGAA